UACGAAGGGGGCUAGCGUUGUUCGGAUUUACUGGGCGUAAAGCGCACGUAGGCGGACUAUUAAGUCAGGGGUGAAAUCCCGGGGCUCAACCCCCGGAACUGCCUUUGAUACUGGUAGUCUUGAGUUCGAGAGAGGUGAGUGGAAUUCCCGGUGUAGUGGUGAAAUGCGUAGAUAUCGGGAGGAACACCAGUGGCGAAGGCGACUACCUGGCCUGUUCUUGACGCUGAGGCGCGAAAGCUAGGGGAGCAAACGGGG
rnacentral:rRNA from 1 species